GUGUCAGCCGCCGCGGUAAUACGUAGGUGGCAAGCGUUGUCCGGAUUUAUUGGGUUUAAAGGGUGCGUAGGCGGUCCCAUAAGUCAGUGGUGAAAUACUCUAGCUUAACUAGAGGGGUGCCAUUGAUACUGUGGGACUUGAGUAGAGUUGAAGUGGGCGGAAUUGACGGUGUAGCGGUGAAAUGCUUAGAUAUCGUCAAGAACACCGAUAGUGAAGACAGCUCACUAAGCUCAAACUGACGCUGAGGCACGAAAGUGUGGGGAUCAAACAGGAUUAGAAACCCCGGUAGUCC
rnacentral:rRNA from 1 species